ACACCCUCAAGCUCUGCUUGGUGUUGGGCGUCUGUCCCGCCUCAGCGCGCGGACUCGCCCCAAAUCCAUUGGCAGCGGUCCUUGCCUCCUCUCGCGCAGCACAUUGCGCUUCUCGGAGCCCCGGCGGAUCAGCGUCCAGCAAGCAAUUUCAUG
rnacentral:misc_RNA from 1 species